CAUAAAAGUGUGCAUCAUAAUGUCCCAAGUACUGUCAUAAUAAAGUCUAUUUGGCCUUGUGUCAUCUCUCUCUGGGAUUGGAUGAUACGAAAGAAACAGCGAAGAGCAGUUCAAGAUUAUAGCAGUACUUCCUGGGUAUAUGCUGCCCCCCACCCUUCAAGAUUAGUAAAUCAAGACUGCCUUGACCAGCGGAAGCAUUGUUAUACGUUAUAGCUCUUGUGAUUUUGAACAAGUUUCUGCUGCAUGAUGAUGCUGGGUUGUGGGCACUACUUUGAGACAUUGAAGAUCCUCACACUGGCUCCAAGCAAGAGGACAGAUGGCACGUGUGCGUGCGUAAGGCUCUGGAACAGCACUGCUGGUGUGAGGAAAGUGAAGAAAGCCAAACUGAGCUCAUGCUGA
rnacentral:lncRNA from 1 species